rnacentral:rRNA from 1 species
GUGUGCAGCCAUGCCACCCUGAACAAGCUCAAUCUCAGAAGCUAAGCAGGGUUGGGCCUGGUUAGUACUUGGAGGGGAGACCACCUAGAAAGACCAGGUGCUGUGGGCA